rnacentral:misc_RNA from 1 species
AGAAGGUCGCCGAGCUCGUCC